rnacentral:rRNA from 1 species
AACGAACGCUGGCGGCAGGCCUAACACAUGCAAGUCGAGCGCCCUUUCGGGGGAGCGGCGGACGGGUGAGUAACGCGUGGGAAUAUGCCCUUCUCUACGGAAUAGCCUCGGGAAACUGAGAGUAAUACCGUAUACGCCCUGUGGGGGAAAGAUUUAUCGGGGAAGGAUUAGCCCGCGUUGGAUUAGGUAGUUGGUGGGGUAAUGGCCUACCAAGCCGACGAUCCAUAGCUGGUUUGAGAGGAUGAUCAGCCACACUGGGACUGAGACACGGCCCAGACUCCUACGGGAGGCAGCAGUGGGGAAUCUUAGACAAUGGGGGCAACCCUGAUCUAGCCAUGCCGCGUGAGUGAUGAAGGCCUUAGGGUUGUAAAGCUCCUUCAGCUGGGAAGAUAAUGACGGUACCAGCAGAAGAAGCCCCGGCUAACUCCGU